rnacentral:rRNA from 1 species
CAAAAAGCGCUUGGUCAAGAGGUGGAUGUAUCCAGCGGAAGGAAACAAAGAUGCGGGAGGAAAUGAAAGGAUGAUACUCUAUCCCAAAUCCCCACAGUUCCUUUGAAUAGAAGGUCGACUCUCAGGUCACUUGCUCGCCAAUUGGGUGUCAGUCAUACUACACUCUACAAGAAACUCAAGCUU